GAGGAUGCCGCGGGCCCGCCUCCGCCUGCCUCCACCAAGAGAGGCGUUCGGACCGCCUCCGCCGAGCCAGCAGGUGAUGCUGCCCCCGUGCGGCGGAAGGUGACACCACAGCCUCGCAAAUGAUUCCACCAAUGCCAGUGGCAUGCACCAGAAACCAGGAAGCAAUCAUACAGCUGAGCCAACCUGAUGUACUUUAAAACACUUGACCACAAUUCUCCAGUGGAUACUCAACCCUGGCUUCAAACUCCCUUGUCUCUCCAGUGAGUUUGCUUUCCCUCUAAUGGAUGACCGUUUCACACCUUCAAGACUUGCCUCAACAAUCCCUACCACCACCUCUUCUGAACUAUGUCACCUCACUCCCAGCUCCUGUCCUAGGGAUGAGGGAGCAGGAGACAAGCUGAGGACAAAGCAGAAGCUGGUGCCCUACACCCUCUCCCCAUGCCAUAUGUGUAACAUUCCUCAUGCACUCCCGGCUGCCCUAAAGGAAAAACAAUGCUUAACUGAUAGAGAUCCCAGUCCUGCCGGACAGGAGUCUCCCUCCAUCUACAAAUGUCCUAGCGACUUACAAGGAAGGAAGAAGCUUUCUCAUCAAUAACCUGACUUCCAGAGACCCAUACCUCAGUUUCUGGAAGCCCUAACAUCACCCUCCCCUCCAUAAAAUUGAGGGAGGCUAAGGGCGAGGGAAGUGUAAUAAAACUGAAUUUCUUCUAAGCCCGAAGCCCACUGACAAGGAUGUGUGAUAGGAGGAAUGUAACAUAUCUCCAGGAAACUCCCAACUGUCUUCAUGCUUUCCCUCAUUAGAGGCAAAAACAGCCUUGACUUGACAAUAACCAGGUCUCCCUUAUCCUGAAAUUCUUCUUUAGCAUAUGACAGUCCUUCUGGACACCCCCUUUGUCCUCACUUUCCUCAGCUCCCAGUCAACCACGCCUCUGUCUGAGCACCUCUUUCUGCCCCUGGGUCCUGGCCCUGUGUUUUAAUAAAACCACCAUUUGCACCUAA